GUAUUUCAUAUCCCCCUCUAGAUGUUAUGUUUUAUCAGUUAUGUUACAGUUUUGAACCUUAUAGUUUUACAAAUUUUAAUUCUGCAUUUAUACAGUAUAUUAUGCAUUGUUUAGGUGUAGAUAUCAGCCAUGAGUUAGCUUGUGGUCCUUCGGGGUCAUGAGUACUGUGUAGCAUUUUAGGUGUCAGAUUCGAGGCGUUACAAAAAUAAUCCUCCCAAAAUUUAUACUAUUUUCUCAUAUUAUAAGUUCUUAAACAAUUUCGUAAAAUCAUGCUUGACUCAAAAUAUCGUACCAUGAACAUAUUUAUCUCUACGAGCAUUGGCUCCAAAUAUUUAGAUCUUUUCUUAACUUCAACUUUAGAUAAUAUAUUCUUUUUCUUUUCAAAACAUACUAAUAUACAUAAGGGUUUUCAUAAUAUUUUCUUGAACCUGCUGAUUUGUGACAUAUACUUAAGUAACUAUGAUUCAAUCCCUUGAAAAACAUAAAAUUAUCUUUCAAUUACAAUUAAUAUGACUCACAAGAUUUAUAUGAAUGAAUUUGAAAGUCAAGCCAUAAAGAUUCAAAGAAUGGAGGACUCUAACUCAAGAAAUGGAUAUAUAUUCUCAAGAAAUAUUCGAGAAUUUGUAUCAAAACCAAGAACAAUGCUUAGGGAUAUUAAAUCUUGGAACCCUAAAUUUAAAGCAUGAACUUAAUAUGAAACUAUGAUUCAAUUGUGGGGAAGAACAGAGGUCCUCAUGAAAGAUGUUUCUCUUACGUACCUCGGAGAUCAACUAUGGAGAAGAACCUUUUGGAUUUGGAGCCCUAACUUGAUAUUUCUUGAAGCUUGAAUGUUUUGAGACCUUGAGAGAAUAUGAGAGGAUGCUUUUAAUUGAUACUAGGGUGAAUAUAAAAAUGGAAGAUGUUUUCGAUUGGUGGGGGCGGUUUAGAUUAAGGGAAGGACCAAAAAAAUCCUAAACCUACAUUUUUUGAGUCUGUGUGAUGGAUGAAUAAAUGGGUUUGGAGCUGCAAGACUUUCCAGUGUGAUGAUCAACUUGCUAACUUUUGGUAAAAUGGACAUAAUACUCUAGUAUUGGAUUAUUGAGCGGUCAGUGGUGUUGGAAAGAAGAUUCAAAGUCCUUUCAUUUGAUGUAUUUUGUGGCACAAAAGUCUUUGUAUUCUAGGAGUUAUGCUUAUUUGAAGUUGAUCCUACUAAAACCUCAUAAUAAAACUUGAUUUAUCGAAGUGUUCUCAACUAAACUUUGCGCUACUACUACUACUACUACUUUUUGUUGUUCUUGGAGCUCUAGGGUUUUAAGCUACUCUUUCCAUAGCUAUUCACCUUGGAGUUCAAGGGCUUUAAUUGCUACUCUCUCCGCUUCAAGGAUUCAAAGACCAUGAGCAAAUGGAAAUUGCAUGAAAAGACAAAGCUCCAGCAUAGAGAAGUUGUGAAAGCUUAGUUCAAGGGAAAUCUGAUGAAAAAAAGUUGAGACAAAGCUGGAAAAAGAAGGAAAGUGAGAAAAAGAAGAAAAGCUGAGGAUAGGCCCUAAGAUGCGACCCUCAAUAUUGCUAUCGGACUCUGAGGGUCGUCAUCAUAAUUGAGUGGAGCCGAUAGAAGUACCGCAAUCGUGAGCCGAUGCUUCGUGAUCGCGACCAGAGGAUGUGAUCACUGGUAUCUGGAAAAUUUCCAAAGGCAGCAAAGGAAUUUCUCAAGGCUCCAUCCCAAGAUAUAAAAGGCUAAACCCUUCAUGUUUCAACCAUCCACUUCUUCAGUUUUGAGAGAAAAAUACAGUAUUAUUGGGUGGAAUAUAAUUUGUGGGUGUGUUCUUAAAGAAAAAUUUUAUCUAUUUAUUUGAAUUUGAAUAUAGGAGUUUAUAUUCAUUUGGGUAUAAAUCUUCUCUUUUUUUCCAUGAGUAGGUAAACUUGUUGUAAUACCCCGUACUUUUCUUAAUUCAA